AAGUCGUAACAAGGUUUCCGUAGGUGAACCUGCGGAAGGAUCAUUAACGAAUAACUAUGGUGUUGGUUGUAGCUGCCUCCUCGGAGGAAUGUGCACGCCCGCCAUUUUUAUCUUUCCACCUGUGCACCGACUGUAGGUCUGGAUAACGCUCGCCUCACGGCGGAUGGCGAGGGUUGGACUUGCUUCACGGCGGUUCUCCCCUCGAAUUUCCAGGCUCUACGUCUUUUACACACCCCCAAUAGUAUGAUAUAGAAUGUAGUCAAUGGGCUUCUCAGCCUAUAAAACACUAUACAACUUUCAGCAACGGAUCUCUUGGCUCUC
rnacentral:misc_RNA from 1 species